GUCUGCACGCGCCGCGCCGGGCGGCCGGAGUCAGCGCUUCCCUCCUGCAGAAGUUUUAAUGAACAUAUAGACACACCCGGACCUGGGUCACCCCCAGGGCCGGCUGGCUGCGCCCCCUCAGAUCUGGGGGUUCCCCUGGGAGAGGUGCACGCCUCGAUGGCGUCUUUGUCCCAACUCAGAGAAUCAGAACUUGGGGCCUGUAACUGCCGCAGGAGUCUGGUCGUGGCUGUGGAGAUGCCAGUGCCCUAAGAAAAGAUGGGGCGUUGUCUGAGGAAUCGCCUUCAGAACCCGAGGCACAUCUGUUCAGACCUUCAAUGCUGACAGCUGUUUUUGAAGGUGAGUAUGAUGGUUGGAACCAUCCAGAAGUCAUCUUGAGCCCAGUGAAAAAGCCAGCCCUGAAGAUUGUGAAUUGAUGAACCAGCCAAGUUCUGAGGCUUUUGACUACAUCUGUCUCAGGAAAUGUGGUACUGAAGGUCCUGGCCACUGUAAUAAGGCAAGAAAAAGAAACAAAAGACAAAGACUGGAAAAGAAGAAGUGAUUGGUUCUUAGAUACAAAUGAUUGUACACGUGGAAAAUCCUAAGGACUCUACAAAAUAAUGCUAGAAAUAGCAAAUAAUUAAUCAAAUUUGCAAGGUACAGGUCAAUAUAUAAAAAUCGAUUUUAUUUUUAUAUACUAAUAGCAAAUAAAUUAAAAUGAAAUAAAAAUAAUUCACAAUAGCACCAACACAUAAAAUACUUGGCAAUAGAUUAAACAAAAUUAUAAAGUAAUGCUAAGAGAUAUUUAAGAAGACAGAUUAUUAAGAGAUAUAUCAUAUUUCAAGGACUUUCUUUCUUGAAUCAAGAAUUAAAUAUUGUUAAGAUGUCAGUUGUCUACACAUAGAUUCAGUGCAUUCCCAAUCAAAAUCUCAGACUUUGUUUUGAUAAAAAGUGACAAACUGGUUCUCAAAUUUAUAUGUCAAUGCAAAUGGCCUAGAAUAUAAAAAGAAACUUUAAAAAAGAGCAAAGUUGGAGGACUAAUACCAUCUGACUUCAAGAUAUAUUGUCAAGCUACACUAAUUAAUACAUUGGCAUUUUAAUAGACAAAUAGAUCAAAUGGAAUAGAAUAGAGUACAGAAAUAGACCCACACUUAAACAGCAAAUAAAUCUAUGGUGUUAGAAAUUAGAAUAGUGCUUGCUCACAAGGCAGGAAAAUGGACAUUUCUUGGGUGAUAGAAGUAUUCCUAUCUUGACUGGGUGGCGAUUAUGCAGGUGUAUAGGUUUGCCAGAACUCACUGAUGCACACUUACGAUCUACACCUUUUGCUGCUGCUGCUGCUGGUGCUGCUAAGUCGAUUCAGUCGUGUCCGACUCUGUGCGACCUCAUAGACGGCAGCCCACCAGGCUCUGCCGUCCCUGGGAUUCUCCAGGCAAGAACACUGGAGUGGGUUGCCAUUUCCUUCUCCAGCCUAUACCUUUUACUACGUAUAAAAUGUACCUUGAAAAAUAGCUGUUGACUGUGAACGCCUGCGUUCUGACUCUUGCUUAAAUACUUCAUAUUGGAUUUUUGUUGGUGGUGCUGGUGGUGGUCUUGUGGCUUGAAAAGGAAACUGUGAAGAACAAACAUCCAGUUGUGUGUAAAACUGAACUUCCCAUUAUGCAGAGGAGUCACUUGUGCAAAUGAAUCUUGGUUCACUGUAGAUACAUCACAUGCAUAGAGGGAGCAAAGUGACUUGAUAAUUACCCUGCCAUUGGAGUCAGUCAAGAGCUAAGACUUUGGGUUCGGGCAGAUUGGGGUUUGAACCCAGGCUCCAGUGUUCCCUGGCCAUUUGACUUUGGGUAAAUUACUGGAAAAACCAUAUUAAAAAGCAGAGGCAUCACUUUGCCAACAAAGAUCCAUACAGUUAAAGCCAUGGUUUUUCCAGUAGUCCUGUAUGGAUGUGAGAGUUGGACCAUAAAGAAGGCUGAGCACUAAAGAACUUAUGCUUUCAAAUCGUGGUGCUGGAGAAGAUUCUUGAGAGUUUCUUGGAUAGCAAGGAGAUCAAACCAGUAAAUCCUAAAGGAAAUCAGCUCUGAAUAUUCAUUAGAAGAACUUAUGCUGAAGCUCCAAUACUUUGGCUACCUGAUACGAAGAGCUGACUCGUUGGA